rnacentral:snoRNA from 1 species
GGAUUCCAUGCUAGAGCAACCAGUGGCUCUGAACCAUUGCCUGACCUCUGUGCCUGUAGGCUUCCUGGCACUGAAGUGGGUCACACUGUC